rnacentral:lncRNA from 1 species
CAGACACAGAGACCUACACAAGGGUCAAUAUUCGCGCUGCCUUCCACUGAGCAGUUGCAGGGCAGGCAGUCAGGAUAUCCCGUAUAACCCAAGGCACAUCUACUGCAGUGCUCUCCUGCAUAGCCGGUCUUGCAGUGACAGAAACCAGGUAACAUGUCUCCUUCUGCAUGUUUUUCGUCUUUGACACAAGUUUCAUGUAAAGACCCAUUUGGAUCACAGGAACAAGGCUGGCAUGGAUCUGGGCUAUCUGGCAAUACCCCUUUAGGUCUGAAGUAGCCAUCAACACAGGUCUCACAGUUUAUGCCAUCAGUGUGGCUUGUACAAUUAACACACACUCCACCCCCGAUGUAUUCUCCAAAAAUAUUCAAACUCUGAUUUCUGUCUGCCACAUUCUGAUCGUAGUAACAUUCCUCGGUCUUCCCAUGACAGUUGCAUGGUUCACAUUGGUGCUUAACCAGGAAAGUCCCAGCAUGCCAAGGUUUUUGAUUGAAACCAGGACAACACCG